GUGAGGAAUUUUGCGCAAUGGGGGCAACCCUGACGCAGCGACGCCGCGUGGAGGACGAAGUCUUUCGGGAUGUAAACUCCUGUCAGUGGGGACGAUAAUGACGGUACCCACAGAGGAAGCACCGGCUAACUCCGUGCCAGCAGCCGCGGUAAAACGGAGGGUGCAAGCGUUGUUCGGAAUUACUGGGCGUAAAGCGUACGUAGGCGGCAAGUUAAGUUCAAUGUUAAAGCCCACGGCUCAACCGAGGAGAUGCAUUGAAUACUGGCUAGCUAGAGGGUGUUAGAGGAAGACGGAAUUCCCAGUGUAGCGGUGAAAUGCGUAGAUAUUGGGAGGAACAUCGGUAGCGAAAGCGGUCUUCUGGGACACACCUGACGCUGAGGUACGAAAGCGUGGGGAGCAAACGGGAUUAGAAACCCCUGUAGUCC
rnacentral:rRNA from 1 species